rnacentral:tRNA from 1 species
ACUAUUUUGACAGAAAAGUGUAAUGAUUUUAGAAAUCAUGAAUAUAUAUGUGAAUAAAAAAAAAUAUAUAGAUAGUA